rnacentral:tRNA from 1 species
GCGUGCGGUGCCGCGUGGGGGCGGCUGCCGUGGGCGGCGGAUGCCGUGCUCCCGUACGGCGUGGGGCGCCGUACGGCACCGCGCGUGCGGCCC